rnacentral:rRNA from 1 species
UACGUAGGUGGCAAGCGUUGUUCGGAAUUAUUGGGCGUAAAGAGCGCGCAGGCGGUCGUGCAAGUCGCGUGUGAAAGCCCCCGGCUCAACUGGGGAGGGUCACGCGAUACUGCUCGACUUGAAGGCAGGAGAGGGAAGUGGAAUUCCCGGUGUAGUGGUGAAAUGCGUAGAUAUGCGGAGGAACACCGAUGGCGAAGGCAGUCCCCUGGGCCUGUACUGACGCUCAUGCACGAAAGCGUGGGGAGCAAACAGG